GCCAAAAACCUAGCCUAUUGAAACUUUAUGAACCUAUAACCAUUUUGUAUUAUAAACUAAAUCAUUCUACUAUUUUAGUAAAGGAGAUUAAAAAAAUUAUAUGAGCAAUAGAUAUAGUACCGCAAGGGAAAGAUGAAAUAAAAAUGAAAUAAACCUAAAGCAUAAAAAAGUAGAGAUUUUACCUCGUACCUUUUGCAUCAUGGUUUAACUAGUCUAACCAAGCAUAAGGCAUUAUAGUUUGACUUCCCGAAACUAAGCGAGCUACUUCAAGGCAGCUUUAUGAGCGAACCCGUCUCUGUUGCAAAAGAGUGGGAUGACCUUCAAGUAGGGGUGACAGACCUAACGAGCUUAGUGAUAGCUGGUUACUCAAAAAAAGGAUUUUAGUCCAACCUAAUGCUUCUCUUAAAAUUUAAAUUUGCCCUGAGCUUUAGAGCAAUUCGAAUAAGGUACAGCCUAUUCGAAACAGGAUACAACCUUCACUGACGGGUAACUAAUCAAGCUACUCAACUAAGUGGGCCUAAAAGCAGCCACCUUUAAAAAGCGUCAAAGCUUAAUUGAAAAAUUCAACUAAUCCCCUUAGCCUUUAUUAACCCUCUUUUGUUAUUGAGUAAUUCUAUACCCCUAUAGAACCUAUUAUGUUAAAACUAGUAACAAGAAGCCAAACCUUCUCUGAGCUGUAAAUGUACACCAAAAAGGAUAACCCGCUGGUAAUUAACGCCCAUGAGCCAAUAUUAGCAACCUCCCAAGAAAACCCUAAUUUUUCAUGCGUUAACCUAACACAAGAACAACCCCAGAAAGAUUUAAAGAAAAAGAAGGAACUCGGCAAACAUAAACUCCGCCUGUUUACCAAAAACAUCGCCUCUUGAGAUAAAUAAGAGGUCCAGCCUGCCCAGUGACUCCAGUUCAACGGCCGCGGUAUCCUAACCGUGCGAAGGUAGCGUAAUCACUUGUUCUUUAAAUGAGGACUAGUAUGAAUGGCAUCACGAGAGUUUUACUGUCUCCUUUUUCUAAUCAGUGAAACUGUUCUCCCCGUGAAGAAACGAGGAUAAACAUAUAAGACGAGAAGACCCUAUGGAGCUUUAAACUUUAUUUCAACUGCUUUCUCUUCAUAACCGGUCCCGACCUAUUUUACUUAAUUAAGCAUCAUGACAAUAAAUUUUAGGUUGGGGUGACCACGGAGCAUAAAAAAACCCCCGUGUUGAAUAAAAGGCCUUAAGCCCUGAACUAAGAGUUACAACUCCAAGUACUAAUAAUUUAACAUCCAUUGACCCAAUAUUUUUGAUCAACGAACCAAGUUACCCUAGGGAUAACAGCGCAAUCUACUUUGAGAGCCCCUAUCGACAAGUAGGUUUACGACCUCGAUGUUGGAUCAGGGUAUCCCAGUGGUGCAGCCGCUACUAAAGGUUCGUUUGUUCAACGAUUAAAACCCU
rnacentral:rRNA from 1 species